rnacentral:lncRNA from 1 species
CUGCCCUGCACUGCACAGUGCAGCCAUGAUCAUGAAGCAGCCCACCUGGACUUAAUGCCUGAAGCCAUUGCUGCAUCGUAGAACUUCUUAUGAUCAACCUGAGACUUCAUAAGGCAACAUUUUUUCUCUAAUCCUCCACAUAGGAUUUCAGAAGGCAUCAAAGUGCCCUUUUCUGCUGUUGGGAGAAUUAAAUCUUGAACAAAAUUCCCAUCUGACCAGUUGCCCAUCACAUCUCCAUCCAAGGCUUGUUGCUUGAUGAUCCUCAGUCAUGGCCUCUGAUACCUUCAGACAGAAACCAGCCCACAGAGGUGAGUAUAUUAUG